rnacentral:lncRNA from 1 species
GAUCACAGAAACUAAAUAAAUAUCGUCUCGAAGUUAUACGAUUACGCCAAAACACAAAAUGAAUUUGCAGAAAUUAAACGCAAUUACCAAAUUGUAGAAACUGAAGGGAAGACGAAAUACCAAAAUAAUUGCAGAAAUAAAAUGUAAAUUUCAAAUUGCAGAAGUUGAAAGAAACACAAAAUACCAUAUUUUACAGAAGUGGAAGACAAAAUAUCACUUCAAAAAAAAAUUAAGCCUUAUUUUAUAAAAUCAGCUCUGAUACCAUGUUGAAACAAUUCAAUUAACACAAAAUAAAUACGAACAUGAAAGAGAAGGAGGCUAGAAUUCUCCUUAAUUGAUUUGUAAAAAAUACAUUGUUUAAUCUAAAUACAAA